UCCUCUGUCGUCUAGUGGCCAAGAUACCCGCUUUUCAAAAUUGCGCUCCAAACGCUGUUUAACGCGGGCGACCCGGGUUCAAUUCCCGGCAGGGGAA